GUCAUCAACUGGUGAUGCAAGAUGAGCUCCAGUCACUAGCACUGUUAGCAAACUCCAAAUUCUACAGUGAUACAGUAGUAGGCAUUUCAAACUCUUAUCAAAAUCUGCCUGUGCAAUGGCUGAGUCCGCCUGCUGAGGAAAACAAAACAAUCUUCUUGCUUAUUGGAGAAAGGCUGGAUUGACUACGGUGGCGUCCUCUCGGUGCAGAAAGAUGUCGUAUCGCACAUACUGAAUCCUGGAUGCUGUGCUUCUUAAUUUUUAGGUUUUAGAAUUAAAAAAUAAAAAGACUACGAUAGAAAAAUAUCAUAACUAAAGAUGCAACGUUCAUGAAGAUAAAACGUUCUUUUUUCUUUCCUUUCUGCUUUUUCUCUUUUGCAGUCCAUCAAAAUCCUGAGCAGUAUUGACAAACCACACGAGCACAGGGUCUGCCUGCAAGAUCAGCUGUCUGUGUCUACGCUACACCCUGUUAACCACAAGCAGUGUGAGAGCUAAAAAUAUCUGCAAUGCAGAAACGGUGUGCUGCUUAUCUAUGACAAAUAUUGUUCCUGACCACGAGACUUCUACAAUAAGAGCAGCAUCCUUGAAAAAGGGGCACAAGCCUCGUACUGGGAUAAUGCUAUGAACAUGUACCAGGUGACUGAUGGACUAGAUGGGCGUAUAUUCAAAAUUUCCAAAUGCUAAUAGAAGAUAGCUUGGGGCUCUUGAUUUGUGAAGGUAUCCCACCCUGUGCCCUGCACAGAAAUAAAGCAAUGUCUCCUCACAUCUUUUCAAUGUGUUUUGGAGAUUUUAAAAUCAGCAGCAGGCUUUCCCACUAAUAACCUGGGAUGUGAAACCAAAACCCAAGUGUUAACAGAGAAUUCCAGGCUGAUCUUUUCCUGCCACGGUGUAGCUUGAGAUUUGUCUACAACCACUCUCUUACACUGCCAUCAUUGCUACAGUUAAGAACUAUUUAUACUCCCAACAAGAGAGGUACUUCAUUUUAAGAAAGCUGUUCUACAAAUUGCAGAUUGUUGAAGUCUAAACUAGUUCAGCCUGAACUGACAUCACUGCAGAUGAGGCUCUGUUUUAAAAAGCUGUCUGUCCUAGAUCACUUACAAAAUUACAUCAUUUAUCGUCACAUAAACUCUGCCAACUUCUCCAUGCUUCAGAAUUGAAGGUAAUAGUCAGUCAGGAAGAGGGAUGGACACACUCAAAGAGAGAGCUGUAUCCCAAGGAAUUUCAAUUAAAUUUUAGGAAUAAAGCUAGCGAGCAACAGUAGUGCAUUUUUUAGAGCGCAGUUGUACAAAAGGCUCUAUUAACAAUAAUAAUACUCCUUUACAGCAUGUUUUAUCUAACAGUCUUAGAGAUCAUCACAAACAUUAAUUGGGCCUAACUACAGCCUGCAAUAAAUUAGCAUUAUUAUGCUAAUAUUAUGGAUGGAAAGAGAAAAAGACAGAGGUCCUGAUUCACUCAGGAACAGAACCCAGAGCUCUGUGCUCAAGUUUAUAACCCCAGCCAAGAAGAACUGUUAUCAGACAAAUGAAAUGUCAGACAGAAAAAAUUAUAAAAGGUUUUUAAAAUCACAUUAUAAUUCCAAUAAGGAAGUGCUUAUCAGACAAGAAAAUAAAGUUGCUGUGGACUACAACAGCUAAAUUUUUUUGCUCUAUACUUUUUAAUCCUCACCUCUGCAGUAUCAUUCAUAAUCACCAGGAAUUUCUUACUGGUUACUCUGAUUUACUUAUGUACAAAUCUAAAAGUGGAGAAUAUUUUACAUAACGGCCAUUAGAACUGGAUCAAUCACCUUCAUUGUUAACCCUGUCUAUGACUUAAAGGAAAAGGAUGGAAUGACUGCAUCUACUUUUCCUUAAAACAGUGAGAGGGAUAUGGAAAAAAAAGGCAUAACAGCUAAAAUAAUAAAAGUGUCUCUCUUCAAGUACCAUUCCAAUUUCUAUCAUACAUGGUUUGGAUUUUCUGUUGUUGUUUUUUGUUUGGUUGUUUUAAAUGAUAAGAGUUUAGCCUGCCUUUCCUCAGUGAAUAUCCCGUAAAAUGCUUAAUUUGUCACUCAUUAAUCUUAAUCUAUCUUAAUCUGAUUUAGUAUAGCCCACAAGAUGUACAACAGCUUCUUCUUUGCAAAGCAUCAGAGACUAUUCCAGACAAAAAUAAUCCUUAAUCUUUCUUCUGCUCUUGAUACCAUUCAUCACUUCCUCUUUACACUGGCAGCUUGUCUCAUGUGCCUUCUUGGCUCUGCUCUCUCUUAGACUUUCCUUUCACUGUUCCAAAUGUGUUCAUAGUAGUUGAUAGAUUCUGGAAUUUCAGAAGUUUCUAAAAUACUGCAAUCUUUAUGCAGUAUAUCUUGCUAGUGCUAAAGUUAUUUUAAUUAAGUUCCUCAUGGAUCCUUCAAAAUUAAUAGCAGAAGGCAGCAAAUGUUCUCUUAUGAAUAUCCGUAAAUGCAUAACAAGUAAUUUUUAAAAUGCAUUUUUUCCUACAACAUACUGAAUAAACUUGUCAUUACCAUUUUCAGUCUGCAUAGAUCUUCUUAAAGGCUUCUUGCUUAUACUAAAUAUACCUCUUGUUUGCUGGGCAGUUCUGGCUUUUUCAGUUCUAUAAAAAUUUUACUACUUUCCUCAUUUAGUAAAACUUACAUUUGCAUAACGUAAGAGCUGAAUAGUAGAGUCAUGAAGCAGAUUCAGGGUACUCAGCUCCAAUGCAAGCUUCCCCCGUGUACCUAAAUCGAGACUGGGAAAGAACACUUGAAUGAUCAAGAGUGUGGCUUGCUCUUCCUUUUUGACAGUCACUAUCUUUCCUGCUGCAAGUAUGGUCUGCAGUGAUUUUUCCUUGCAGAUUUCUUUUAAUGGGUCAAGGAUUUCGGCGGUUACCUUCUGAAUGUUUCUCAUUCAGAUACGUGCCCAGUCAUGACAUUACUGAAUUAAUUUUCCUAGUCAUGUAGCUCUGCUAGGUGAUCUACAGGCACAGCUGUGGAUGUACUUUCAUUUGCCCAAUCAUACUAGAGAACAUCCACUGUCUCAAAGAGUAUAUACUGAAGAAGAAACAUUAAAAUAAAGGAGAAUAAAGUUGGCACAAAGAAGAAAAAAAGGAAAAGAAAAUGUUAUGGUUUUUUUUUUCUUAAUUAUUAUUAGAACUUACGUUUUCUUUCUAUACUCAGUGUAAUAACUUAGCAAUGGAAUACAUAUUAGCAGUCACGUUUUUUUAAACAAUAGUCUUGGUGUUCCAAACCACACCAACGAAGUAGAACAAUCCAAGCGAAACAGAUUCACAGAAUCUUUUGCCAGCAUUGUGCUAAACAGUUGUGUUAGAAGCAUCUAACACUGAGCGUAAAUCUGCUUUGGAAAGUAAUCACACAAGCUCAACUCUGCUUUAAUCAGUUUAAAAUACAUUUUCUUUCAUAAAAUAAAUUUCAGUCUGCUAACUCAGCAAAUUCAGCUCAGUCAGUAUGGCCCUACUAUGAGUUCAACUGAAGCUCUAGGCCUAAGAAGCUGGGUGGAACAACUACUAUUAAUUAACUUCCAGAAUUCUGUUAAUGAAAAAGGCAUGAGAAGAACAUUAUUCACUGACAGAGACCAUAGUUCUCAAUGUGCUUAUGAAUACAGAAAACAAUAUGUAUCACCAAAACCUAUCACCCUUGAUAUAAAGGCAUUCAGAGAGAAUACUCAUGGUAUCAGUUAUGCCUGCUUUACUUCAGAGUAGAAGCACUAAAACUUAAGAUAUACAUAUAAGAACAUGUUUUCUCCUGAAAAGUUUUAAAAUUUGGAAAACUAAUCCCACAGUCACAGUCAUUGCUGGAAGGCAUCAGCUCCAUGGAACAGACCAGAUUUACUGGUCUAUUAAACUGCUAUCUAUUCUGCAUCCUAUUUAGACCCAUGGACUGUUUUCAAUCAGUAUGUGUAAAAUCUGACAGCCUAUUUUUACAUGUGUGCAAAACAACCUUGUCUGAGAGAGCUCCUUAGAACUCAUGCUAAAAAGUCUGCAGAAUACUAGAAUAUCUGUAGUAAAGGCAAGCUUGAAGAUAUACCCCAACAGCCAUCAUUCUGAAACCCUCUGAAGAAAUUGUCAGAAGACAUCCUCCCCUUUAACAAAAUACAACUAUGACAUAACCAGCAAUAACUAUCAUACUCCACCAAAGGGAAGGAUCAGAAUGAGAACCGUCAGUCUAUGUGUCUCUUUUUCUACAUAGCAUGCAGUUUUCAGACAUUUCCAGCCUGUGGCUACUCACUGUACAAAAGCAAGAUGGCUGCCUACAUUCUUUGAGCUUCUCUGCUGCUAUUAAAUGGAGCACUGUCUGGACAAAUGCAGAGGAAGAACAGCAAGAAUAGAGCUAAAGCAUAAAAACACAACAAAGCUGAUCAGCAAUUUUAGAACUCACAAAUGGAAUAUGGGGAAGAAGUCAGAAAUUAGCUACAUCCCUCAUUAGGUUUUGCACUACUGGCAAAAAUUCCCAUUGGCAUUACAACUUAGUUUCAUUAGGAGGAGCUCUACUGGAAAAAAUUAAAAAAAAGGAUUAGAUUCUUCUGCAAUGCUUAGCAUCCUGUUAAAAAUAACAUGCUGAGCAGAUUUGGUUGAGAAAGUCCAUGGUUACAUUAGCUUAUUAUUACUUAAUGAUUGAACUAUGCAAAAAUCAGCUACAGCCUAAAGGUUUGUCAACUGAAAUUUAGUUGUAAACUCUUUCUUUAAAAAAUACUAGAACUCCUACACAAAUAACAGCCACCAUUAAUUUUCAGCAGUGACUGAACAUAGGACCAUCUGCUCCUACAGUUAUAAGCCCAAAGUAGGAGCCAUAGAAAGGGUAAACUGAGAACUGCUUCCUGGAAUCUAGGAUGUAUGAGGCUCCUUGCCAAAGGAAGCAAACACAUGUGAACAAGGCACUCAGAAGAAAUAACCCCUCAGUCACUCUACUCUUGUUGACAGAAUUCUGUAGAGAUGACAGUUUCCACCACUAUUCAAGUUUCAAAUUGUGGUUUUUCUAAAUCUGGAGCUUUGUUUGCAGUGAACUGCAAAUAUUCAGCAGUUACAUGACACUCAGAAUGGACUGCUACACACUGCACUCCCCUGGCCUUCAGACAGCACUUUUUUCCCUCUAUCAGCUUGGACUUUCCCCACCUCUCUACAGCAGCACUCCCCUUCUCUCCUCUUGCAACACUGCAUUAUAGGAUGAAAUAAGAAAAGCAGCAGUGAUGUCUGAAAAUCAAUUAUUUGCCAUGGUUGUUGCUCAUGAUUUCCAAAUGUAGUUCUACAAAAGAUAAUUAGAGCAAUGUCCUAGAAGAUCCUCCAUUUUGUCUAAUUAAGGUACUUGCUUGAGCUUCCAGUUGUAUUGCUCAUCUUUGAUAAAUAUCCUUCUUAACCACAAUGCUUCUGUAAUAAGAGCAACAUCCUCUAAAUGGGGGCUUAAGUCCAAAACAAUAAAUGAUCAGUAGAAACUAGGUGGUGACCAGGUGUCCUUAGAAAACCUGUGUCCAUACAUGAACAAAGUGAAGAGGGGAACACCUCCCAGAUGACCACCGAAGACCCUGCACAAGCACAGAAGAUUCAGAUAUGCAUGUAUAACCUUGUAACUGCAGUAAUCUCAUGAGUAUGUGAUAGAUAGGUGUGCCUUAUGUAUUAGAUAGGUGUGUAUGGAGAACUUUUGGAUUAUAAAUAGUGGAUAGUGCGAUGACUUGGGUGCACUCCAUUUGUGGAGACUACCUGUCUUACGCCCUGUGCAGAAAUAAAGCAAUGACUCCUCUCUAAA